rnacentral:rRNA from 1 species
AUGUACAUUCCUACAACAUAGCGUUAAUGCAUUGGAUCCCAUUAGAACUCUACAGUUAAGCGUGCUCCAGAUAGAGUAGUAUUGGGAUGGGUGGUUGCUCAGGAAGUCCUAGUAUUUUACAUG